rnacentral:rRNA from 1 species
ACGCGUUGGCCCAACUGAUUGAACGUGCUUGCACGGACUUGACGUUGGUUUACCAGCGAGUGGCGGACGGGUGAGUAACACGUAGGUAACCUGCCCCAAAGCGGGGGAUAACAUUUGGAAACAGAUGCUAAUACCGCAUAACAAUUUGAAUCGCAUGAUUCAAAUUUAAAAGAUGGCUUCGGCUAUCACUUUGGGAUGGACCUGCGGCGCAUUAGCUUGUUGGUAGGGUAACGGCCUACCAAGGCUGUGAUGCGUAGCCGAGUUGAGAGACUGAUCGGCCACAAUGGAACUGAGACACGGUCCAUACUCCUACGGGAGGCAGCAGUAGGGAAUCUUCCACAAUGGGCGCAAGCCUGAUGGAGCAACACCGCGUGAGUGAAGAAGGGUUUCGGCUCGUAAAGCUCUGUUGUUAGAGAAGAACGUGCGUGAGAGCAACUGUUCACGCAGUGACGGUAUCUAACCAGAAAGUCACGGCUAACUACGUGCCAGCAGCCGCGGUAAUACGUAGGUGGCAAGCGUUAUCCGGAUUUAUUGGGCGUAAAGCGAGCGCAGGCGGUUUGAUAAGUCUGAUGUGAAAGCCUUUGGCUUAACCAAAGAAGUGCAUCGGAAACUGUCAGACUUGAGUGCAGAAGAGGACAGUGGAACUCCAUGUGUAGCGGUGGAAUGCGUAGAUAUAUGGAAGAACACCAGUGGCGAAGGCGGCUGUCUGGUCUGCAACUGACGCUGAGGCUCGAAAGCAUGGGUAGCGAACAGGAUUAGAUACCCUGGUAGUCCAUGCCGUAAACGAUGAGUGCUAGGUGUUGGAGGG